rnacentral:rRNA from 1 species
UACGGAGGGGGCUAGCGUUGUUCGGAAUUACUGGGCGUAAAGAGCUCGUAGGUGGUUUGUCGCGUUGUUCGUGAAAACUCACAGCUUAACUGUGGGCGUGCGGGCGAUACGGGCAGACUUGAGUACUGCAGGGGAGACUGGAAUUCCUGGUGUAGCGGUGGAAUGCGCAGAUAUCAGGAGGAACACCGGUGGCGAAGGCGGGUCUCUGGGCAGUAACUGACGCUGAGGAGCGAAAGCGUGGGGAGCGAACAGG